UUGAACGCUGGCGGCGGGCCUAACACAUGCAAGUCGAGCGGAUGAAGGGAGCUUGCUCCUGGAUUCAGCGGCGGACGGGUGAGUAAUGCCUAGGAAUCUGCCUGGUAGUGGGGGAUAACGUCCGGAAACGGGCGCUAAUACCGCAUACGUCCUGAGGGAGAAAGUGGGGGAUCUUCGGACCUCACGCUAUCAGAUGAGCCUAGGUCGGAUUAGCUAGUUGGUGGGGUAAAGGCCUACCAAGGCGACGAUCCGUAACUGGUCUGAGAGGAUGAUCAGUCACACUGGAACUGAGACACGGUCCAGACUCCUACGGGAGGCAGCAGUGGGGAAUAUUGGACAAUGGGCGAAAGCCUGAUCCAGCCAUGCCGCGUGUGUGAAGAAGGUCUUCGGAUUGUAAAGCACUUUAAGUUGGGAGGAAGGGCAGUAAGUUAAUACCUUGCUGUUUUGACGUUACCAACAGAAUAAGCACCGGCUAACUUCGUG
rnacentral:rRNA from 1 species